rnacentral:rRNA from 1 species
GUGGGGAAUAUUGGACAAUGGGCGAAAGCCUGAUCCAGCCAUGCCGCGUGUGUGAAGAAGGUCUUCGGAUUGUAAAGCACUUUAAGUUGGGAGGAAGGGUAGUAACCUAAUACGUUGCUACUUUGACGUUACCGACAGAAUAAGCACCGGCUAACUUCGUGCCAGCAGCCGCGGUAAUACGAAGGGUGCAAGCGUUAAUCGGAAUUACUGGGCGUAAAGCGCGCGUAGGUGGUUUUGUAAGUUGGAGGUGAAAUCCCCGGGCUCAACCUGGGAACUGCCUCCAAAACUGCAUGACUAGAGUACGGUAGAGGGUAGUGGAAUUUCCUGUGUAGCGGUGAAAUGCGUAGAUAUAGGAAGGAACACCAGUGGCGAAGGCGACUACCUGGACUGAUACUGACACUGAGGUGCGAAAGCGUGGGGAGCAAACAGGAUUAGAUACCCCAGUAGUCC